rnacentral:rRNA from 14 species
AUAACUCAAAUUUAUUAUCCAAGUUAUAUAAUACAUACGGUUGUUUUUCUGGGGCGGAGGCUCAUUAAAAGGUAACAUGAGCAAGCAAAGACUUAACGUAAUCUUAACUGGAAAAUUAAGUUUAACUGUCAGGGUCACAACCCAAGCAGGUGUAGAAGUUUAAAUAUUUUUAAACAAUAAGCAGGUAGUAAUGACCCACUUUUAUUUACAUUUAUUAAAUAAAGUGAUCAACGGAUUAAAGGUACGCUAGGGAUAACAGGCUAGUACGCGCCAAGAGUUCA